GAUGAACGCUGGCGGCGUGCCUAAUACAUGCAAGUCGAGCGAACAGACGAGGAGCUUGCUCCUCUGACGUUAGCGGCGGACGGGUGAGUAACACGUGGAUAACCUACCUAUAAGACUGGGAUAACUUCGGGAAACCGGAGCUAAUACCGGAUAAUAUAUUGAACCGCAUGGUUCAAUAGUGAAAGACGGUUUUGCUGUCACUUAUAGAUGGAUCCGCGCCGCAUUAGCUAGUUGGUAAGGUAACGGCUUACAAAGGCAACGAUGCGUAGCCGACCUGAGAGGGUGAUCGGCCACACUGGAACUGAGACACGGGCCAGACUCCUACGGGAGGCAGCAGUAGGGAAUCUUCCGCAAUGGGCGAAAGCCUGACGGAGCAACGCCGCGUGAGUGAUGAAGGUCUUCGGAUCGUAAAACUCUGUUAUUAGGGAAGAACAAAUGUGUAAGUAACUAUGCACGUCUUGACGGUACCUAAUCAGAAAGCCACGGCUAACUACGUG
rnacentral:rRNA from 1 species